rnacentral:misc_RNA from 1 species
GGCGGCCAUCUUUAUGCGGCCAACAGCUGUUCCCGGCAGCGAGCGAACUCCCCCCGGUUAUCUGGGUCACGGGAACUGCGCAACACUCUCGGUACCGCAGUUAUACGGUGGUUAUCGCCAUCGUGGAAUACAACAAUUUCCACGAGGAAUAGACGAUAGAAAAAUGGUUGUUGGUCCGGGUGCGAGUAGAUCGCCCGCGGAGACAGGAGCGCAAGGAUGCCGUAGACUGCCAUUGGCGCACUCGGAGGGGGCUGCUCGUUCAUUGGCCGAGAGAACUUUGAUCAUGGCGGCGGGGAGCACACGCAACGGUCGUCAUUUCGUCGUCACGCUCGACGCACCGGCGGACGACGCCAUCGCCGUGGGAUCUUUUUCACGCUGCAUCGGGAGUCUGCGUUUGGACUCGUUGGGAAAAACGUCCCGAUUAAAAACCGAGGAAAGAA